rnacentral:rRNA from 1 species
AUUGAACGCUGGCGGCAUGCCUUACACAUGCAAGUCGAACGGUAACGGGCCUUCGGGUGCCGACGAGUGGCGGACGGGUGAGUAAUACAUCGGAACGUGCCCGAUCGUGGGGGAUAACGAGGCGAAAGCUUUGCUAAUACCGCAUACGAUCUACGGAUGAAAGCAGGGGACCGCAAGGCCUUGCGCGGACGGAGCGGCCGAUGGCAGUUUAGGUAGUUGGUGGGAUAAAAGCUUACCAAGCCGACGAUCUGUAGCUGGUCUGAGAGGAUGAUCAGCCACACUGGGACUGAGACACGGCCCAGACUCCUACGGGAGGCAGCGGUGGGGAAUUUUGGACAAUGGGCGCAAGCCUGAUCCAGCCAUGCCGCGGGCAGGAUGAAGGCCUUCGGGUUGUAAACUGCUUUUGUACGGAACGAAAAGCCUUCUUUUAAUACAGGAGGGUCAUGACGGUACCGUAAGAAUAAGCACCGGCUAACUACGU